rnacentral:rRNA from 1 species
UAGAGGAAGUAAAAGUCGUAACAAGGUUUCCGUAGGUGAACCUGCGGAAGGAUCAUUACCGAAUUGUCAAACGGGUUGUUGCUGGCCCUCAUAGGGGGCAUGUGCACGCUCUGUUUACACAUCCACUCACACCUGUGCACCCUCUGUAGUUCUAUGGUCUGGGAGACCCUGUCUUCCUUCUGUGGUUCUACGUCUUUACACACACACUGUAAUAAAGUUUUAUGGAAUGUACAUCGCGUCUAACGCAAUACAAUACAACUUUCAGCAACGGAUCUCUUGGCUCUCGCAUCGAUGAAGAACGCAGCGAAAUGCGAUAAGUAAUGUGAAUUGCAGAAUUCAGUGAAUCAUCGAAUCUUUGAACGCACCUUGCGCCUCUUGGCUAUUCCGAGGGGCAUGCCUGUUUGAGUAUCAUGAACACCUCAACUCUCAUGGUUUGCCAUGAUGAGUUGGACUCUGGGGGUCUUGCUGGCCUGUGGUCGGCUCCUCUCAAAUUAAUCAGCCUCCCAGUGUUUGGUGGCAUCACGGGUGUGAUAAAUAUCUACGCUCGCUGUUGCCCRCCAGGUAACCUUUGGUCACAAAGGUUUGCUGGAGCUCACAGAUGUCUCUCCUCAGUGAGGACAGCUUUUUUAAUGUUCGAUCUCAAAUCAGGUAGGACUACCCGCUGAACUUAAGCAUAUCAAUAAGCGGAGGAAAAGAAACUAACAAGGAUUCCCCUAGUAACUGCGAGUGAAGCGGGAAAAGCUCAAAUUUAAAAUCUGGCGUGCCUCUGGUCGUCCGAGUUGUAGUUUAGAGAAGCGUUUUCUGUGUUGGACCGUGUAUAAGUCUCUUGGACAGGGCGUCAUAGAGGGUGAGAAUCCCGUCUUUGACACGGACUACCAACGCUUUUGUGAUACGUCUCAAAGAGUCGAGUUGUUUGGGAAUGCAGCUCAAAAUGGGUGGUAAAUUCCAUCUAAAGCUAAAUAUAGGCGAGAGACCGAUAGCGAACAAGUACCGUGAGGGAAAGAUGAAAAGCACUUUGGAAAGAGAGUUAAACAGUACGUGAAAUUGCUGAAAGGGAAACGCUUGAAGUCAGUCAUGUCUGCCAGGACUCAGCCUUGCUUCUGCUUGGUGUACUUUCUGGUUGGAUGGGCCAACAUCGAUUUCGACCGUUGGAGAAAGGCUUUGGGAAUGUGGCACCUUCGGGUGUGUUAUAGCCCUCUGUCGUAUACAAUGGUUGGGAUCGAGGACUGCAGCAUGCCUUCAUGGCCGGGGUUCGCCCACGUACAUGCUUAGGAUGUUGGCAUAAUGGCUUUAAGCGACCCGUCUUGAAACACGGACCAAGGAGUCUAACAUGCCUGCGAGUGUUUGGGUGGAAAACCCAUGCGCGUAAUGAAAGUGAUAGCUGAGAUCCUCUCAUCAGGAGCAUCAGCGCCUGGACUUGAUCUACGGAGACGGUUCUACGGUAGAGCAUGUAUGUUGGGACCCGAAAGAUGGUGAACUAUGCCUGAAUAGGGUGAAGCCAGAGGAAACUCUGGUGGAGGCUCGUAGCGAUUCUGACGUGCAAAUCGAUCGUCAAAUUUGGGUAUAGGGGCGAAAGACUAAUCGA